CAAACACACCCCCGUGCACGUUGAAGGCCCGGCUCGUUGAGUGGGUGGGCGACCGCCCAGGAUUCGUAGCCUCGCUUUCUUACACAAACUUCAGAAUGUACAUCAGAAUGUCUUACGCGUGUAACGCAUCGUAAUAUAACUUUCAGCAACGGAUCUCUUGGCUCUCGCAUCGAUGAAGAACGCAGCGAAAUGCGAUAAGUAAUGUGAAUUGCAGAAUUCAGUGAAUCAUCGAAUCUUUGAACGCACCUUGCGCUCCUUGGCAUUCCGAGGAGCAUGCCUGUUUGAGUGUCAUGAAACUCUCAACCCCUGCCAUCUUUGCGGAUGAGCGUCGGUUGGAUUUUGGAGGUUGCCGGACUCGUUCGGCUCCCCUUGAAAGCAUAGUAAAGCUUGGACCUGACCGACCGGGUGGACGUGAUAGAAAGUCACCGUCGACCGAAGGGUCCGUCGCCUGAACGGUUCAAGCUUUGUUUGUCGUCUUCAGGACGAACAUCUCUGACCUCUGACCUCAAAUC
rnacentral:rRNA from 1 species